rnacentral:lncRNA from 1 species
AGAUUUUGAAGAAGACGAAGACAGCGACGAGCCAAUGCCACGGCCGCAGCCUCCGCGUCACUAUUUACACGAUAACAAUGUUCAGAACAUGGCACCUAGUGUUAAAACGCAAUCGUAAAUUAGCUUGAGUUUUGCUUAAGGACACACCGCCGCCGCUGCCGGCCCGCACGGGCAUCUGCUACCCCCGCACCUAGCCGCACCAUAAGUUACAUUAAAUAUAUUGAUACGUAUAUUAUUAUACACACCAAUUUAUUACCCGUUGAUGUGCGUUUAAUCUGGUACAUGCAAUUCUAAUUAUAUAUGUAAGAAUAAUUAAAAUUAUGUAAAGACAAAUUUUACUACAGUUUAUAUAUCUUAUAUUUGGGGGCGCGGCAGUGCCCACGCCAAGUCGAGCGCGAAACAACACGGUCGUAGGUACCAAUCAUUUCUAGAACCAUUUCGUAACCAAUGUUAUGUCACUUGGCUGUUGAACAUUAUCACAUGAUAGUGGGUACAGUUUGUGUGUAAAGGCCAAGUCACAUGUCAUUAUAAUUAUAUGAAAUUGCAAUAAAAAACCGACGACUGAGCUCAACUUUGUCUAGAGAUUUCAUUAUUUUUUAAAGAUAAACAAGUAGCUCCAUCGAGAUAUGUUUUUUUUUUGCAGAAGAUUCGUUAAUUCGUAAUAAUAAUUAAGGAAACUAAUUGUACUGUCUUCUUAACGUUAUAAAAAUUAUAAAAAUGAUAAUGAGAUAUUCAAUUAAAAUCGAAUGUACCAGACUUAACGAUUAAAGGAUAUUUACAAGCACGAUAUCGCCCUUCAGCGAUGUGUACUCGACUUAGAAAUAUCAAGUAUUUUUGAGAAUAGACUAUCUUACUCUAUAGUGGAUAUUUAUAUACUAAACCAACAACAGUUUAUACUGAAAUUAAAUAUGAAAUCUUGUAUGUUUAAAAUGCAAUCUCUCUGUAGGUUUGUUUGUUUUUUGUUUAAACAAUACCUAAAUUUUUAUAAUUCUUUGUUAAUUGGAGAAUUUGGCGAAGAUUAAGUUAAUUUAUAUCAUAAAUCCUUUCAAGUUUUCCCUCAAAUCGGAUUUUUGUAUUGCAUGCAAAUAUAUGAUCCCAUAUUUUUUCAAAUAAUGAAUGAUCCCCGGGAAAUGAUCUUUUGUCCUGUAAUUUGUUGAAUGACGGGGUCGGAUAAGUAACGGCCAAUUAUGUAAAUAUAUUUUCGGAAAUUUUUCUUUUAUAUUUCGCUUAAUGUGUCUAGUCCCCAAGCUUUUUGAUAAUCACAUAAAUUGAUGUUGAAAAAUUUGUACGCAGGCAGUGUCAACGCCAAGUCAUGCGUGUUUAAAUUUAUGUCUUGUCAUUUAAAUUAUGAUAGGUGUUUGCGUACUUACUUAUUGUAAUUAUUAAGUGGUUGAGUUAUUUUAUUGUAAUUUGUUAUUGAAAAAAAAGCUAUAUGUACUUCAACAUUUCAAAAAUGUCUUAUAUUUGUAUUGGUCGUGUUUGUAUACAAUGUCUAUUCUUUAUACAUAUUAUUCCUUUUCUGUCUUCCAUUUGUCAAUUCCUAAAGAAUAAACUUAAAUUAUAAAUUAAUAAUAAUUAUAAACUUCCGUAAAGCGAUAUUUCUGAAGUGAUAAAAACAUGCACAUUCACGACUUUUAUCUUUUUAAUUUUGCUAUAAUUAUUUAAUUAUUAGGCAAGUAUUUGAAAACGAUUAUCAAAGGUCAUUCACUCUUACCGACCGUCUUAAUUUUUUUUUUUUCACUGAGUCUGAAUUAGUUAUGGCUAUGUAAGUUAUUUGGUGAAGCAUUUUAAUCUUAUCUGACACAAUAUUUUAAUCAUACCUUGGCUUUCUUUUUACACGUAUCAUAUCAUAAUGUCUUAAGCGCGGUAACGUUAAAGAUCAUAGUUAACCCUUUAUUUUUAAAAGAUUUUAUCAUUCGAUUUGCUCACCAAAAUAAUGAAGACUGAAUGAAUUUCUUAUUUUUUAAGAAUAACCACCGAAAUGUGGAAAUACCAAAUUGUUGAAACCAAAAUAUGUAGUAAAUAAUUUUUCGCCUUUUUUUUUACUAUGAACGAAAGUUCUCAUUCAAAAUCUUUUCUCUCUUAGUAGGGAGGUAUAAUUUCGUCCUUUGGUAUCUAUACAUAUAAUAAAUCUGUAGAAGGGUCAAUUCUGUACAUUGAAAAUAUUGAAAAAAUAAA